rnacentral:rRNA from 1 species
GACGUAGGGCGCGAGCGUUGUCCGGAUUUAUUGGGCGUAAAGAGCUCGUAGGCGGUUUGGCAAGUCGGGUGUGAAAACUCCGGCUCAACUCGGAGACGCCACUCGAUACUGCCAUGACUCGAGUCCGGUAGGGGAGUGGCGGAAUUCCUGGUGUAGCGGUGAAAUGCGCAGAUAUCAGGAGGAACACCGGUGGCGAAGGCGGCACUCUGGGCCGGUACUGACGCUGAGGAGCGAAAGCGUGGGGAGCGAACAGG